rnacentral:rRNA from 1 species
AUUGAACGCUGGCGGCAGGCUUAACACAUGCAAGUCGAGCGGAGCGAGGGUGCUUGCACCUUAGCUUAGCGGCGGACGGGUGAGUAAUGCUUAGGAAUCUGCCUAUUAGUGGGGGACAACAUUCCGAAAGGAAUGCUAAUACCGCAUACGCCCUACGGGGGAAAGCAGGGGAUCUUUGGACCUUGCGCUAAUAGAUGAGCCUAAGUCGGAUUAGCUAGUUGGUGGGGUAAAGGCCUACCAAGGCGACGAUCUGUAGCGGGUCUGAGAGGAUGAUCCGCCACACUGGGACUGAGACACGGCCCAGACUCCUACGGGAGGCAGCAGUGGGGAAUAUUGGACAAUGGGCGGAAGCCUGAUCCAGCCAUGCCGCGUGUGUGAAGAAGGCCUUUUGGUUGUAAAGCACUUUAAGCGAGGAGGAGGCUACUAGUACUAAUACUACUGGAUAGUGGACGUUACUCGCAGAAUAAGCACCGGCUAACUCUGUGCCAGCCGCCGCGGUAAAAC